UCCUCAACUUUAUAAUUGGAAGAACUAAUACAAUCUCAAAGUCACGAGGCACAAUGAUGAGACUUAUAAAAUUACAGUUUCUGGCAGUUCUUAUGUUGAUUUGUUACCAGGGUGGUAAACAUGAAUCCAUUAACAUCAAACCAUUUGGGUCCGUCACCAAAAAAAUGCAGUCCGCGUUGUGUUAAAACCAGUUAUGUACUCAAGUAUUGUUGUUCUGGGAUAGAAGAGAAUUACUGUUGCAGCCCGAAUGAAGCGUUAUGUAAUAAAGACUGUCCAACAUUAGAUAUUUGUUGUGUCCACAAAUAAAUGUUAUUGCUAUUAUGAUCAUAGAGUCAUCUUGCAAUAAAGAAAAUAAUAUAUAUUUAAUCAAUAUGUAGUUAUUUGACAAUACACAAAUGAUAUUCUCUUAUAAUAUACUCCAAAUCAUAAUCAUCCAUUUGUUAUAAAUUUACACCGA
rnacentral:lncRNA from 1 species